ensembl:lncRNA
AAGAAAAUUAAAGCGACCAACGGAAAAACGGGAGUAGCUCUUUCCACCAGUGAACAGCAGUGCGAACCAGUGCGGCGGAGCCCGAGGACCACGCGCUGCCCUAACCGCGAUCGAAGCCUCUCCCCCAUCCCCCAGCCCUCUCUCCCACGAAAGGGACCACUUUUUCGUGCCAUCCUAGGGGGCGACAACAUAUCGAGACGCCAAAUCCGGGAAGACGGUGAACAGCAAGGACGGCCGGAACUCACGGCCUACCAGAUGGUGGCGCAGGGCAGCUCCGCGGGAGGGAGAGGUGCAGCCCCUGGGAUAUACUGUCAAAUACAAACUUCUCCGGAAUUUGGCAAUCUCUGCGUCCGCCGCCGCCCCCGGAGGCCUGGCAGCAGCUGCACUGCGACCCGCCGUCUCCACCUGCGCGCAAGGCUGAAGCCGGCCGCUCCCGAGCGCCCCUGCCUGGCCCGAGUGCGCAUCCGUAGGGCCACAGUGCGACCCAGCGGGCCUCCGGGGAAACUGCGCCCGACGGUCGCCCCGGCAACCGGUGGGGCAAGGACCGGGAGAGUUACCGCCUCCCGCUAUAACAGUCUCAAGAAAAGAGGAUGUGGAAGAAUAGUCUCUUUCCUACUUUGUAAACGGAGGGAGGCGAUCUGUUUGCCAAGACACUUACUAAACUCACAGGUAGUUCUUACUGCAUUCAGCCUCUGGGUGAAAAUCGACUCGCCGGAAAGUUCUGGUUUGAGAUGCCUGCAGUGUUUUAUUCAGAAUUCUAGACAACUGGUCAUUUAUGAAGUCCAAGGAAAGAACUAUUAAUUUUCAUCUGAAGAAUGACCCUUAUGUUCUAGUAAAAUCUAUGGCUAGUAGAACUGACUAUAUGCAGGCUCGACCACAAUGCCACCUCCUUCUUGAAAUCCACCCCUGGAAUCACUGGAGUGGGGAGUUUGGCAAGAAACAGGCUCUAGACUGAGCUUCCAAAAAUAAUUCCAAAGCCACACCAGAAGACCAGCCAGAGAACAAGAAGCCACAAGCCAAACCUGGCUCUGCUGCUGUAGCACACACCGAUACUGGGCCAUUUCUGCUACAGUCAGAAUGCUGCUGGCGGAGCUGAGAGUCUGCUGGUGCAUAUCACCUCUGCUGACCAUCCACAAACCAAACUGAAUGCCUUGUUCCAAAGUCAAGUUUCAUGCAAGUGAAUCUCUUUUUUGGAACCUAAAGUACAUCCAAAAUGCUCACUGCAGUGUCUAAGAAAACUUCUAAGAAGUUUCCAGUUUCUUCAAUAUAAGCAGACAGAGCAGAAUAAAGUUAGAAAAGACAAUGAGCAAGCUGGUCCAUAGCAUCUGCUUCGUACUCUCAAGAAUAGUUACCAAUUUUGCGUUAUAUUUAUUUGUUCCCUUCUUUUUUAAAAAAACUAAUUCCAUCAGAUAACCUUUACCAGCAAUUAAAACUAACACAGAUUAAAGUUGUCUUAGGAUAAAGUUUUCCGCACACAGUAUUUUAGUUCUUCAAAAGUAAAUGAUUGAGAAACUGGCUUUUGAAAUAUGAGCUCUUGAAAGCCCUUGAAUAUAAGGAAACUCCAUCUUAUGUAUCUUAAAUAUCCAUCUCCAUCUUAUAUAUCUAUGAAGGAUAAUUUGGGAGAAGAAAACCUCACUUCAUAUUUGGGCAUAGACAGUAGUUGUUCCAUGAAAAGUUUUUUUUUUUUAAGAGUUUUAUGGGCAAAUGGAUUACAGGCAUACCUCGGAGACAUUGUGGGUUUGGUUCCAGACCACCUCAAUAAAGCAAAUACUGCAAUAAAUCGAGUCAUGUGACUUUUUUGGUUUCCCAUUGCAUAUAAGUUCUACUUACACUGUGUGCAUACUAAGUCAUUUCAGUCGUGUCUGACUCCUUGGAACCCUAUGGACUCUACCCCAACAGGCUCCUCUGUCCAUGGAAUUUUCCAGGCAAGAAUACUGGAGUGGGUUGCCAUUUUCUACUCCAGAUCUUCCCGACCCAGGGACUGAACCCGCGUCUCUUAAGUCUCCUGUAUCGACAGGCAGGCAGGUUCUUUACCACUAGCGCCACCUGGGAAACCCUGUAGUCUAUUAAGGGUGCAAAAGCAUUAUAUCUUCAAAAAUGCAAUAUCUGCAAAGCGCAAUAAAAUGAGGUGUGCCUAUGGUUUCUGAGGACUGCCAUAACAAAUUGCCACCAACUGGGCAGGUUAAAACAACAGAAAUAUAUUCCCACGGAGUUCUGGAGACCAGGAGUCUGCAAUCAAGCUAUCUGCUCUUCCUCUAGAGGUUCUGGCGGCAAGUCCUUCUGGCCCCCAGUUUCCAGUAGCCAUUGGCAUCCUCAGCUCUCCUGGUUUGCAGCCACAUCCCUCCAAACUGCCUCAGUUUUCACAUCGUCUCUCUUCUCUACCUGUCUUCUCUUAUGUACGUCGCAAAUUCCCCUCUAUGUUUCUCUUAUAUGGACCUAUCAUUGGAUUUAGGACCCACUCCUAUAAUUCAGAGUGAUCUGUUCUUGAGAUCCUUAAUUUAGUUACAAUUGUAAAGACUCUUUUUCCAAAUAAAGUAACAUUCACCAUUUCCAGGCA